UGCCUAAUAGCUAGCCCAAACUACCCCACCAAAAAUUAAUUAUAAAUACCCCUUAAUUAACUUAAAAAAUCUAAACAAACCAUUUUUCCACCCUAGUAUGGGCGACAGAAAAGGAACACGGAGCAACAGAAAAAGUACCGCAAGGGAAAGCUGAAAGAGAAAUGAAACAACUUGUUUAAGCCACAAAAAGCAGAGAUUAAAACUCGUACCUUUUGCAUCAUGAUUUAGCCAGUAAAACUCAAGCACAGUGCCCUUUAGUUUGAUACCCCGAAACUGAGCGAGCUACUUCAAGACAGCCUAUUUAAUAGGGCAAACCCGUCUCUGUGGCAAAAGAGUGGGAAGAGCUUCAAGUAGAGGUGAUAAACCUACCGAGCCCAGUUAUAGCUGGUUGCCUGAGAAAUGAAUAGAAGUUCAGCCUUUUAGCUUCUUAACCCAAACCAGACUUACCCAGACCUGGGCUCAAGAAACUAAAAGAGUUAGCCAACGGAGGUACAGCUCCUUUGGAAAAGAUACAACUUUAUCAGGAGGUGAAAGAUCAAAAUUAUUUACUAGGUAUAUUGUUUUAGUGGGCCUAAAAGCAGCCAUCUUGUUAGAAAGCGUUAAAGCUCAAACACCUAUUAUUAACCUUUUAUUAUGUUAUCAUAUCUUCUCCCCCUAAAUAUAUCAGGCCGCCUCAUGCAACCAUGAGAGUGACCAUGCUAAAAUGAGUAAUAAGAGGGUACGACCCUCUCCCUGCACAUGUGUAAGUCGGAACGGACCUCCCACCGACAAAUAAACGCCCCCAAAUAAAGAGGGAAAUGUAUAAUAAAUAAACCACUAGAAAAAUAUACACCUUAAUAAUCGUUAACCCCACACAGGAGUGCAUACAAGGAAAGACUAAAAGAAAAGGAAGGAACUCGGCAAACACAAGCCUCGCCUGUUUACCAAAAACAUCGCCUCUUGUAUAUUAAAAAUAAGAGGUCCCGCCUGCCCUGUGACUCUAUGUUUAACGGCCGCGGUAUUUUGACCGUGCGAAGGUAGCGCAAUCACUUGUCUUUUAAAUGAAGACCCGUAUGAAUGGCAUAACGAGGGCUUAACUGUCUCCCCUUUCUAGUCAAUGAAAUUGAUCUCCCCGUGCAGAAGCGGGGAUAAAAACAUAAGACGAGAAGACCCUAUGGAGCUUGAAACCUAUGAUAGUGCACGUCAAACACCUCAGCACAAAGAAAAGAACUAAGUGUUUACCUAUCAAAGUGUUUUUGGUUGGGGCGACCGCGGGGAAAACAAAACCCCCAUGUGGACCGGGAAUACUAAUUCCUACAACCCUAGAGCUACCGCUCUAAGUAACAGAACAUCUGACCUUCAAGAUCCGGCAAAGCCGAUCAACGGACCGAGUUACCCUAGGGAUAACAGCGCAAUCCUCUCCCAGAGCCCAUAUCGACGAGGGGGUUUACGACCUCGAUGUUGGAUCAGGACAUCCUAAUGGUGCAGCCGCUAUUAAGGGUUCGUUUGUUCAACGAUUAAAGUCCUACGUGAUCUGAGUUCAGACCGGAGUAAUCCAGGUCAGUUUCUAUCUAUGAAUUUGACCUUUUCUAGUACGAAAGGACCGAAAAGGAAGGGCCCAUACCUAAGGUACGCCCUACCCUUACCUAAUGAAAACAACUAAAAUAGGUAAAAGGGCAAAACCCCUAAGCCACAGAAAAUGGCAA
rnacentral:rRNA from 1 species